rnacentral:rRNA from 1 species
UACGAAGGGUGCGAGCGUUAAUCGGAAUUACUGGGCGUAAAGCGCGCGCAGGCGGCUUUGCAAGACAGAUGUGAAAUCCCCGGGCUCAACCUGGGAACUGCAUUUGUGACUGCAUGGCUGGAGUGCGGCAGAGGGGGAUGGAAUUCCGCGUGUAGCAGUGAAAUGCGUAGAUAUGCGGAGGAACACCGAUGGCGAAGGCAAUCCCCUGGGCCUGCACUGACGCUCAUGCACGAAAGCGUGGGGAGCAAACAGG